UACGUAGGCAGCGAGCGUUGUUCGGAGUUACUGGGCGUAAAGGGUGCGUAGGCGGGUCUUUAAGUAGGGGGGGAAAUCCUGGAGCUCAACUCCAGAACUGCCUUUGAUACUGAAGAUCUUGAGUUCGGGAGAGGUGAGUGGAACUGCGAGUGUAGAGGUGAAAUUCGUAGAUAUUCGCAAGAACACCAGUGGCGAAGGCGGCUCACUGGCCCGAUACUGACGCUGAGGCACGAAAGCGUGGGGAGCAAACAGG
rnacentral:rRNA from 1 species